AGUGAACGCUGGCGGUAGGCCUAACACAUGCAAGUCGAACGGCAGCACAGUAAGAGCUUGCUCUUACGGGUGGCGAGUGGCGGACGGGUGAGGAAUACAUCGGAAUCUACUUUUUCGUGGGGGAGAACGUAGGGAAACUUACGCUAAUACCGCAUACGACCUAAGGGUGAAAGCAGGGGAUCUUCGGACCUUGCGCGAUUGAAUGAGCCGAUGUCGGAUUAGCUAGUUGGCGGGGUAAAGGCCCACCAAGGCGACGAUCCGUAGCUGGUCUGAGAGGAUGAUCAGCCACACUGGAACUGAGACACGGUCCAGACUCCUACGGGAGGCAGCAGUGGGGAAUAUUGGACAAUGGGCGCAAGCCUGAUCCAGCCAUACCGCGUGGGUGAAGAAGGCCUUCGGGUUGUAAAGCCCUUUUGUUGGGAAAGAAAAGCAGCAGGUUAAUACCCCGCUGUUCUGACGGUACCCAAAGAAUAAGCACCGGCUAACUUCGUG
rnacentral:rRNA from 1 species